CACACGGGGCUGUUUGUUUGGGUCCGAGGGCGUGUGAGCGUGGGAUGGGGUGAUGCCGGGGGUCCCGGCCUGCGAGCCAGAGGCCCGAAGCGGAGAGCGGCGGGCGGCGGGGCGGCGGGAAUUAGCGCGCCAGCCCGCGGCCAGGGAUCCCUUCUGGCGAGAGUUCGAGGCGGGAUUAUCACGUUCAAAAGCAGGUCAGGCUGCCGGGAUGGAGCAAAGCCAUUGGACUCCGUGGGACUGGAGUCUGUGGGUGCAGAGUGGCUGAUUUGAACUGAGGUCUGAGCAGAGACUCUGUAGGUCCGUGUGUGGAAGCCCCAACCUCAUCUCAUCUCAGCUCCAUGGAGUCUAAGCGGGAGGCUGGGCUUCUCUUCUCCUCCAGGCGCCUUCGGACCAGUGCCAGCCUGCCCUCCAGCUCCUGCAGCGGCCUCGUGCUGCCCUCUGCUGGUCGCGAUCUUACAGCGACCACCCGGCUGGGCCCAGCGCCGACCUCCGGCUGCAUGCGCCCUGUGUUCCCAGUGAAGGUCUUCUAUAGGUUCCGGAGGCCUCUCCUCUCCGCCCAGGGUCAAGGUAGGGGCUGGGUGGGGCUGGUGGGAUAUCUCCAGCCCAG